UUAUUACUUCCUCCGUCCAUAAAUACUUGUCGGAGAAAUGGAUGUAUCUAGAUGUAUUUUGGUUCUAGAUACUUCCAUUUUUAUCCAUUUCUUCGACAAGUAUUUCCGGAUGGAGGGAAUACAUU
rfam:Triticum aestivum genome assembly, contig: Triticum_aestivum_CS42_TGACv1_scaffold_488350_6AS